CCUACGGGUGGCAGCAGUGAGGAAUAUUGGUCAAUGGACGAGAGUCUGAACCAGCCAAGUAGCGUGAAGGAUGACUGCCCUAUGGGUUGUAAACUUCUUUUAUAUGGGAAUAAAAUGUUCCACGUGUGGGAUUUUGUAUGUACCAUAUGAAUAAGGAUCGGCUAACUCCGUGCCAGCAGCCGCGGUAAUACGGAGGAUCCGAGCGUUAUCCGGAUUUAUUGGGUUUAAAGGGAGCGUAGGUGGAUUGUUAAGUCCGUUGUGAAAGUUUGCAGCUCAACCGUAAAAUUGCAGGUGAAACUGGCAGUCUUGAGUACAGUAGAGGUGGGCGGAAUUCGUGGUGUAGCGGUGAAAUGCUUAGAUAUCACGAAGAACUCCGAUUGCGAAGGCAGUUCACUGGACUGCAACUGACACUGAGGCUCGAAAGUGUGGGUAUCAAACAGGAUUAGAUACCCGAGUAGUC
rnacentral:rRNA from 1 species